CGGAGAUGCUUUCUUGAGAAAAUACCUGGCCCGCCUUCAGGAGUGGUCAGCAGAGGGUCUCUUCAUCUGGUGAUUGAGCUCAUAUCAGGUGUCUGAAGAAGAUAGUUUCUGAGGUUGUGGGUCAUGAUGGCUGCUGAAGCUUCUACUCCAGAUCUGAAGGGUAGCAGUGCUCAGGAGACCCCAGACACUUCCAUCCCUGAGUAUAACAUCAGAGAAGGGUGGGAAUGCUGUACUCCAGAACAAGGGGCUCUUGGAGAAGAACCAAGUUUGCUAUGGAAUCUGCUGGAGAGGUUACUGGAACAAGAGUGAAGAGGUC
rnacentral:lncRNA from 1 species